UUAACUAUUAUAUAGUACUCAGACGACAUUAAAUUCAAGGUUUGAUAUCCUCUGGCGGGCACUUACCAGCCGGAGCCGGUAGUCUGACCGAGGCCUGACGGCCCGCCAAAGCAACAAAGGUAACGAUAACAUAGGGUGGAGAUCUACCCGUAAGGGCAUGAACUCUGUAAUGAUCCCUCCGCAGGUUCACCUACGGAGA
rnacentral:misc_RNA from 1 species